GUUGGAAAAUCCCACUUUACUUCAAGUGAAGUCACUGGGUUGUCCCCAUGAAAUAUCUCCACAAUGGGUGUGCUAGACCUUUACUCUCUGUGGCACCACCAAGACCCCCUCACCCUGCCAGAGCCCUCUGAAGUGUACUCAGAAUGGAGGGGCUGGAAGUGGGGCCAGUGGUCCUGGUAGUCAGCCUCCCCUUCUGACACAAGAAUUAUCGUGGAACAGCUUGUGUGACCGAUCAACUGGUCUCUCCAUCUUUAAGCCAUUGUCUUGUUGACUCUGUUACUGCAGAGUUUGGGGAGGUCUCAUGGCUUCUCGCAUCCUAUUUCCUGAGCUUCCCUGAAGCCAACUUCUGGCCACUGGUAUGUGAUGCGAGCACAGUGCCUCCUCCUGCUCCUCCAGGAAGCUUCUGCUGAUUGAACGCAGGCCAGAUGGCGAGAUCCGGAGCAACCUUCUUAGAUCAAGGGAAGAAAGGGGCACAAGAGGGGAGUAGGUAACAAGAUAAAAGGAGCUCCCUCCCUGAUGACUACAGAGCCAUCGUGGCAGCCCUGGGCCUCCAUUUCAGACGUUCAUCUUGCCUAAGCCACCACCAUCAGGGUCUCAGUCAGUCAUCAUUCUCAUUUACUCGGGUGGCUGGGUGAGGGCGGAAUACUACCUUCCAGCUGUCUGAGAUUAAGCCUAAGCCACCACCAUCAGGGUCUCAGUCAGUCAUCAUUCUCAUUUACUCGGGUGGCUGGGCGAGGGCGGAAUACUACCUUCCAGCUGUCUGAGAUUAAGCAGAACAGCAGCUAAAGCAGUAACAGCAGGUCUCCUUCAGCAGCUUGCCACAGGGAAGAGGGUCCCGCGUGAACCGAACUCAACUUCCACCUGCGCAGAGGUAGCUACCAUUUGCGUAGAGGUAGCUGGGUCUUUAAGGUUAGAGGGAAGGCGCAGGGAGGGAGAGACGGCGGGUGGGGGUUGAACAAAGUGGAGAUUCACAAAAGCAGACUAGGGCGGGCGACGUGAUCAGAUGACCUGUGCGGGCGGCAGCCUCCUGCCCUCCUCCCCUUCGUGCGCCGGCUGGAGCGAAGAGUUCUUUUGACAGCCGUGAGCUUCCCCGCCAGGAACUUACUGGGGCUGCAUCACCCUAGAAACGUGGCUUUGGGCUGUGGAAACGCUGCCUCUGUGGAAGUCUCUCCUCGCGGGGGUGGACGGGUCGCUGCGCGCCCAGCGUUCUUCUGCGGUUCUCACAGCCCGCCGCCGCCGCCGCCUCGGGGACCUUUGCGGGGAGGCCUCAGGGCACCUUCCUCCUCUCUCUCAGGCACGUCCUCGACCUCAGUUGCCACGUGCACAUGCUGGUGCCUUCCAGGUCGGUCUUUCUCCACCAGACUCCACCUGGAACUUUCUUCCUUUUCGUCCUGUGCUGGCCUAACCCCUGCUCGGCCUCGGCCCUCAGCUGCCGGCUCUAACAAAGCCUCUGUCUUUCCCAGACCCCUGUGACCAGGCUGGAGUAUAGUGGCAUGAUCAUAGAUCACUGCAGCCUCAAACUCCUGGGCUCAAGCGAUCCUCCCACCUCAGCCUCCAUAUAGCUGGUGGGGACCAAGUUUCUAACACAUGAAUGUUGGGAGACACAUUCAGACCAUCGCAGUGGCCUUAUAAAAAGAGACACAAGAGCUUGCUCUCUGCCAUGUGAGAAUACCACAAGAAGACUGUCCUCAGCAAAUCAGAAAGCGGGUGGACCCUCAUCAGACACCAGAUGUGCCUGCACCUUGAUCUUGGACUUGCCAGCCUUCAGAACAGUAAGAAAGAAAUGUGUGUUGUUUAAGCCACCCAGUCUAUGGUAACUUGCUAUAGCAGCCCACUAGGAGACCCCAAGAUAUUUAAAAACUCAUCAGCACCUGCUUUCUGCAUCUGGACCCUGAUCUUCUGGUGGGUUUACCAGUUACUUGUAGAGUGUCCCUGUGAUAGUUUUAGGUGUCAACUUGACAGGAUUGAGGGAUGCCUAGAUGGCUGGGGAAGCACUGUUUCUGAGAAGGACCAUGUUUUUGGAGGAGACUGUUUUAUGAGUGAAUUUCAGGGGACACAUUCAGAUCAUGGCAGUGGCAUUAUAAAGAGAGACACAAAAGCUUGCUCUCUCUCUCUGCCAUGUAAGACUACCACACAAAGACUGCCAUCUGCAAACCAGAAGCAGGUGGGCUUUCCUCAGACACCAGAUCUGCCUGCACCUUGAUCUUGGACUUGCCAGCCUUCAGAACUCUAAGAAAGAAAUGGUAGCAUGGCUUGGUCUAAGUUGGAAGGCCUGAGAAACAAGCACAUGGUGGAACUGAGUUCAAGGAUAAAGACUUGAGAAUACCUGCUCAGUGGACUGAGUAGGGAAGAUCAACCCUCAAUGUAGGCAGGCACUAUCCAAUCACCUGAGGGCCCAGAUGGAACAAAAAGGUGGAAGAAGGGUGAAUUCUCUCUUCCAGAGCUGUGACACCCUUCUCAUGCCCUUGUACCACACAACUCUAGGUCCUUUGGCCUUUGGACUCUGACACUUGCACCAGUGGCCCUCUGGGGCUCUCAAGCCUUUAGCCUUGAACUUAGUUACACCAUGUGCCUCCUUGUUUCUCAGGCCUUCCAACUUGGAUCAGGCCAUGCCACCGGCUUCUCUGAUUCUCCAGCUUGCAGAUGGUAUAUUGUGACCCUGGCAUUUAAUAACUAUGACUUUGGUCUUAAGCAAUUUUCUUCCUCUGUGGAUUGAUAUUUACAUAUCAAUGUGGAUAAUAAUUUCUUACCACGGUAACUGUUGUGAGGUAAAAAUGAGUUAACAUAAGUAAAACCGAGCACAUGCAAACCAUCCGAAAUGGUUAAUACUUACUAUUUGUACUUGAAGAAAUAAAUGUUUUUGACAAUAAACUUCUUGUGCAGUUUUCCUC
rnacentral:lncRNA from 1 species